AUCUGUUCCUGUCAGGCCCCCAUCAGGGGACUUGGGCUAUAUUCCUGUUAUCUGCUCAAAAUCUCAAGACUGUAAAGGUACUUGUUCACUGAAAGGGUUUGGUACCUGUUGCUGCUAGCAAAGGAGGGGCUGAUACCCACUUCUAGCGCACUCCCUUGAAAGAGGCCUCGUUGCUGCUCUGCCACAAAGGGAACUGGUAGAAAGGCAAGAAAUCAGAGCGCUGUAACUAAUAAACAGGGUUACCUAGAAGCCAUCAGGACUUUGAAGUUCUCCAAAAAAGGAGGAACCUAACUCGGAGACUGGCGGGGACUGGGUGGCUCUCCUAUCAUGUUUGGCAGGCCACCCCCUAUAAAACCCUUUUCUUUAACUAUCUCUUUCCUUGAGAAGGCUCCAGAGGGCGCACGAGGACAUUUGGCCGCGCCUCCACGCUAUCUACGAGACCAGCCCAACCCAAACUCCUCAUCAGCACAGACCAGGAGACUGGAUCUACGUCAGAAGGCACCGCCGGGAGACCCUAGAGCCACGUUGGAAGGGUCCCUACACUAUGGUGCUGACAACCCCCACUGCUCUCAAGGUAGACGGCACUGCCACCUGGGUCCAUUACACUCACGUCCGGUCAGCGGACCCAUCCGUGACUUGGAAAGACUUCAUCACCAAAUGGAGCAUCGAUUGAGAUCAACGCAACCCGCUCAAUCUCAAGCUACGGCGUGCUUGACCUGCCUGAUGCUGGUAACAUUAAAUAAAUUUAAAUAAUGCCUGCACCUUCAUGGGCAUGGCUCCAAAAUAACAAGGACAAUUCAUAGAAAGAUCAGAAAUAGACUUUAGUAUCACAUGUUUAAUAGCGGAAGAUUUGGCUGCCUGAAGCGGCCAUGAUGCCAAUAUUAUGUUUCAUUGUAUUAAUAUGUUAUAUUAACCUUUGAUUCUUUUGCAGGUUUGAAUGUAUAUUGGCUGUCCUGAAA